ensembl:lncRNA
GUUGCUUGGUUCUGUAGUCCAUCACUCGCUCAGAGUUGCGCUGUUGAACGUGUCAUCAGAACCAAGAAGGGGCCACUGCACAGAGAUGUGUUCCCGACAGAGCUCCGGAGGCUGCCACGAGUCAUCUUCCCAGUCCGGGGGAUGCUGCAGUGGGGGCAGCUCCUCCAGCUACCAGGCACAGGGCUCCUCCUGCUGCGGGGGCUCCUCGGGAUACAGCAUGGGAGGAGGAUACAGCGGUGGCAGUGGGGGAUCGAGCCAGAAGAUCAUCAUUAGCUCAGGAGGAGGAGGAGGAGGUUCGUCUGGAUGCUGUGGUGGAGGAUCCAGCAGUGGUGGGUCUUCAGGAGGCAAGAUAAUCAUUGGAGGAGGUGGAAGUAGUGGGGGAUCCUCUGGGUGCUGCAGUGGAGGCUCCUCGGGCUACGGAAUAGGAGGAGGAUACAGCAGUGGUGGUUACUCGGGAUCCAAGAGCAUCAUUGGAGGAGGUGGAAGCAGUGGUGGAUCCUCUGGAUGCUGUGGUGGAGGAUCCAGCAGUGGUGGCUCUUCAGGUGGCAAGAUCAUAAUUACUGGAGGUGGGAGCAGUGGGGGAUCCUCUGGGUGCUGCAGUGGAGGCUCCUCGGGCUACGGAAUAGGAGGAGGAUACAGCAGUGGUGGUUACUCGGGCUCCAAGAGCAUCAUUGGAGGAGGUGGAAGCAGUGGUGGAUCCUCUGGUUGCUGUGGUGGGGGAUCCAGCAGUGGUGGGUCUUCAGGUGGCAAGAUCAUAAUUACAGGAGGUGGAAGCAGUGGGGGAUCCUCUGGGUGCUGCAGUGGAGGCUCCUCGGGCUACGGAAUAGGAGGAGGAUACAGCAGUGGUGGUUACUCAGGCUCCAAGAGCAUCAUUGGAGGAGGUGGAAGCAGUGGUGGAUCCUCUGGAUGCUGUGGUGGGGGAUCCAGCAGUGGUGGGUCUUCAGGUGGCAAGAUCAUAAUUACAGGAGGUGGAAGCAGUGGAGGAUCCUCAGGAUGCUGUAGUGGGGGAUCCAGCUACGGGGGUGGAUAUAGCAGUGGAUCAUCAGGAUCGAAGAGCAUCAUUGGAGGUGGAAGCAGUGGAGGUUCCUCUGGAUGCUGCAGUGGUGGCUCUUCUGGCUAUGGCACUUCAGGCUAUGGCUCUUCCAGGUAUGGCAGUGGGGGAUCAGGCCAGAAGAUCAUCAUUAGCUCUGGAGGAGGAGGAGGAGGUGGCUCAUCUGGAUGCUGUGGUGGGGGAUCCAGCAGUGGUGGCUCUUCAGGAGGAAAGAUCAUAAUUACAGGAGGUGGAAGCAGUGGGGGAUCCUCUGGGUGCUGCAGUGGAGGCUCCUCGGGCUACGGAAUAGGAGGAGGAUACAGCAGUGGUGGUUACUCGGGAUCCAAGAGCAUCAUUGGAGGAGGUGGAAGCAGUGGUGGAUCCUCUGGUUGCUGUGGUGGAGGAUCCAGCAGUGGUGGGUCUUCAGGAGGAAAGAUCAUAAUUACUGGAGGUGGGAGCAGUGGGGGAUCCUCUGGGUGCUGCAGUGGAGGCUCCUCGGGCUACGGCAUGGGAGGAGGAUACAGCAGUGGUGGUUACUCAGGCUCCAAGAGCAUCAUUGGAGGUGGGAGCAGUGGUGGAUCCUCUGGUUGCUGUGGUGGGGGAUCCAGCAGUGGUGGCUCUUCAGAAGGAAAGAUCAUCAUUACUGGAGGUGGGAGCAGUGGAGGAUCCUCUGGAUGCUGUAGUGGGGGAUCCAGCUAUGGAAUGGGUGGAGGAUCCAGUGGUGGUUAUUCAGGAUCCAAGAGCAUCAUUGGAGGUGGAAGCAGUGGAGGUUCCUCUGGAUGCUGCGGUGGUGGCUCUUCUGGCUAUGGCUCUUCUGGCUAUGGCUCUUCAGGCUAUGGCAGUGGGGGAUCAGGCCAGAAGAUCAUCAUUAGCUCUGGAGGUGGAGGAGGUGGCUCAUCUGGAUGCUGUGGUGGGGGAUCCAGCAGUGGUGGAUCUUCCGGAGGCAAGAUCAUCGUUGGAGGAGGUGGAAGCAGUGGGGGAUCCUCUGGAUGCUGCGGUGGGGGAUCCAGUGGGGGCAGUGGCGGUUCCUCGGGCCACACCAUCAUCAUCAGCUCCGGAGGAGGCAGUGGUGGGUACGGCCAGUCCUCGCAGCAGAAAUGCCCCAUUGUCAUUCCUCACAUCGAGAGCCACCAGACCAAGCAGGCCUGCUACUUUCCUGGCCAGCAGAAGUGACCGCCCCCGACAGCGCAGCACUCAGCAGGAACAGCCCUGCCUCUGUUUUCCAUGUUUGUCUGCUUCCCCACCAUGUGUCCUCUUCUCAAUCCUUGAUGCUCCAUUACUAUGCCAUGAACUCUGGGCUUAACAACCUUUUGCUCCGUGCUGGUGUUGUGAUUUCUUUGGUCAAAUUGUGCUCCAUUUUCAGUAAGGAUUUGUAGUACCUAAUAAAUAUCACGACAUCACAAUGUAGAUUUAUUUUUGAGUUUCUUUUUUUCUUGCUUUCUCACACAGCAUCUCAUCAUCUCAGAAGCAGGAAAUGUAUCUGAUAAGUUA